rnacentral:rRNA from 1 species
AUUGAACGCUGGCGGCAUGCUUUACACAUGCAAGUCGAACGGUAACAGGUUAAGCUGACGAGUGGCGAACGGGUGAGUAAUGCAUCGGAACGUGCCCGGUCGUGGGGGAUAACGCAGCGAAAGCUGCGCUAAUACCGCAUACGAUCUAAGGAUGAAAGCGGGGGACCGUAAGGCCUCGCGCGAUCGGAGCGGCCGAUGUCAGAUUAGGUAGUUGGUGGGGUAAAGGCUCACCAAGCCAACGAUCUGUAGCUGGUCUGAGAGGACGACCAGCCAAACUGGGACUGAGACACGGCCCAGACUCCUACGGGAGGCAGCAGUGGGGAAUUUUGGGCAAUGGGCGAAAGCCUGAUCCAGCAAUGCCGCGUGCAGGAAGAAGGCCUUCGGGUUGUAAACUGCUUUUGUACGGAGCGAAAAGGUCUCCUCUAAUACAGGGGGCUCAUGACGGUACCGUAAGAAUAAGCACCGGCUAACUACGUGCCAGCAGCCGCCGUAA